rfam:TPA: Bos taurus chromosome 27, whole genome shotgun sequence.
UAAAUGGACUUCCUUAAGUCCAUUAAAGUCUUUCUAUUAAACAAUUU